rnacentral:tRNA from 14 species
GCACCCGUAGCUCAGCUGGAUAGAGCGCUGCCCUCCGAAGGCAGAGGUCAUGAGUUCGAAUCUCGUCGGGUGCACCA